UACGAAGGGGGCUAGCGUUGUUCGGAUUUACUGGGCGGAAAGCGCACGUAGGCGGAUUGUUAAGUCAGGGGUGAAAUCCUGGAGCUCAACUCCAGAACUGCCUUUGAUACUGGCAAUCUAGAGUCCGGAAGAGGUGAGUGGAACUCCUAGUGUAGAGGUGGAAUUCGUAGAUAUUAGGAAGAACACCAGUGGCGAAGGCGGCUCACUGGUCCGGUACUGACGCUGAGGUGCGAAAGCGUGGGGAGCAAACAGG
rnacentral:rRNA from 1 species